AUUGAACGCUGGCGGCAUGCUUUACACAUGCAAGUCGAACGGUAACAGCACUUCGGUGGCUGACGAGUGGCGAACGGGUGAGUAAUACAUCGGAACGUGCCUAGUAGUGGGGGAUAACUACUCGAAAGAGUAACUAAUACCGCAUGAGAUCUAAGGAUGAAAGCAGGGGACCUUCGGGCCUUGCGCUACUAGAGCGGCUGAUGGCAGAUUAGGUAGUUGGUGGGAUAAAAGCUUACCAAGCCGACGAUCUGUAGCUGGUCUGAGAGGACGACCAGCCACACUGGGACUGAGACACGGCCCAGACUCCUACGGGAGGCAGCAGUGGGGAAUUUUGGACAAAGGGCGCAAGCCUGAUCCAGCAAUGCCGCGUGCAGGAUGAAGGCCUUCGGGUUGUAAACUGCUUUUGUACGGAACGAAAAGCCCUCUUCUAAUACAGGAGGGUCAUGACGGUACCGUAAGAAUAAGCACCGGCUAACUACGUG
rnacentral:rRNA from 1 species